rnacentral:piRNA from 1 species
ACCAAGUCAGUCAGGAGGUAGGACCU